UACAGAGGUCCCAAGCGUUGUUCGGAUUCACUGGGCGUAAAGCGUGCGCAGGCGGCUUCUCAAGUCAGUGGUGAAAGCCCGGAGCUCAACUCCGGAAUUGCCAUUGAAACUGUGGAGCUUGAGGACGAGAGAGGUGAGUGGAAUUCCCAGUGUAGAGGUGAAAUUCGUAGAUAUUGGGAAGAACACCGGUGGCGAAGGCGGCUCACUGGCUCGUUUCUGACGCUCAGGCACGAUAGCGUGGGGAUCAAACAGG
rnacentral:rRNA from 1 species